GACGGGGGUCCAAGCGUUGUUCGGAAUCAUUGGGCGUAAAGAGGGCGUAGGCGGCCAUGUAAGUCAGGAGUGAAAGCCCUGGGCUCAACCCAGGAAGUGCUCUUGAUACUGCUUGGCUUGAAUGUGGAGAGGUAGUGGAAUUCCAGGUGUAGUGGUGAAAUACGUAGAUAUCUGGAGGAACACCGGUGGCGAAGGCGGCUACCUGGCCAACAUUGACGCUGAGGCCGAAAGCGUGGGAUCAACAGG
rnacentral:rRNA from 1 species